AUCGCUGUGAGAGUGGCCUGGUCAUGGUGACAAAGCCUGAUAUUGAAGGGGAUUUGGGAAGCAAGGAUUCCAGUGCCAAGUUUGCUGUUUUGUGGUUCAUAAGAGGUGCCAUGAGUUCGUUACCUUCUCCUGUCCUGGGGCUGACAAGGGGCCCGACACUGAUCUCAAGCAGGCUCUUGGAAUUUGGGAGUUGUGUGUUUGAAGUGCCUUGAGCUCCAGAGAGGUGAAGCCCAGCUCAGCCCUGCAUGGGUGAUGUUCUCGUCCCUGAUUUGUCUGGAGGUUGUUGAUGGCAAAACCCCUGCUGGACCCAAAAUUUCAGCAAAAGUCUGAACAAUUAAAGGAUAUCUGCUGAAUUCCUCAUUCUCUGAACACAGUUCAAGCAAUGAUUUGUAGGUAUGAGCUAUAUACCUACAUUUUCUAAUCAGAAAAUGAUUUCUGAUUUACUUUGGUCACUCCUAAAACCACAAGGAGGAUAACCCAAAUCUGGUUUUAGCUUGGUGCUCAGUUGUGCUGCAGGAUAUUGAUGGAAGUUCCUCUUGAUUGAGAGUUUUAGUGGUGGCAUUCAUGAGCAGCUCUGUUGUGUCCAUAAUGAAUGUUUGGCUCUUGAAAGUGUUCCUGAUUAUUUACUUUUUUUUUGUAAAAUGGCUCUUUGGGAUGGUUCACCUGAAGCUGAGGAAUGAGAACACACAUUUGUGUGUGAGACCAUUUAAUUUUACUGAGAAUCUUUUCGUGGUGACAGAAUCUGUGGCAGGUUGUUAAUGGUCUUUCAUAUUGCUGACUGCAUUUUGUGAUUUGGGUUUUUUGCCUCGGUGAUUAAAUAAAUCAGCCUAAUGCCUCCUUUCUGUAUUUGGGUUACCAAAUGAUCAUUUUCAAUAUUUACACAGCAGCAAUAGCUCAAAAACAGUUUGAAGAUUAAAAGCAAUCGGAAAAUAAAUAUGUUUUAUUAGAAUUGUGCUACAUUAGUGGGUACUAUUACACAAAGAGGAUUGUAGAAUAUUAUACUUUAAUUUACUGAAAUGUUUGACUAUAAUUUCAACCCUUUUACAAUUCAGCACCUUAUUCCUAUCCCGAUUGUUACACAAGCUUUGUUCUGAAAUGAAGUGUGCUGCAAAGCUUAUCAUAACAUUUAGCAGAUUUUUAAAUAUUAAAACAUCCUUUUCUAAAUUACUUUGUGCAGGUGCACAAUUAAUUUGUGUACUCAAAUGCUCCAGUGCAACCUUUCCAUUAAUUGUAAGAGUAAUACUGUCAUUAAUAAAAUUAA